rnacentral:rRNA from 1 species
UACGUAGGGUGCAAGCGUUAAUCGGAAUCACUGGGCGUAAAGCGCACGUAGGCGGCUUUUUAAGUCAGGGGUGAAAUCCUGGAGCUCAACUCCAGAACUGCCUUUGAUACUGAGAAGCUUGAGUCCGGGAGAGGUGAGUGGAACUGCGAGUGUAGAGGUGAAAUUCGUAGAUAUUCGCAAGAACACCAGUGGCGAAGGCGGCUCACUGGCCCGGUACUGACGCUGAGGUGCGAAAGCGUGGGGAGCAAACAGG